rnacentral:rRNA from 1 species
CACGUAGGGACCAAGCGUUGUCCGGAAUCACUGGGCGUAAAGCGCACGUAGGCGGCUUUCUAAGUCAGGGGUGAAAUCCUGGAGCUCAACUCCAGAACUGCCUUUGAUACUGGAGAGCUUGAGUCCGGAAGAGGUGAGUGGAACUCCGAGUGUAGAGGUGAAAUUCGUAGAUAUUCGGAAGAACACCAGUGGCGAAGGCGGCUCACUGGUCCGGUACUGACGCUGAGGUGCGAAAGCGUGGGGAGCGAACAGG